rnacentral:lncRNA from 1 species
UGACUGUACCCUACAUUAAGGUGUUGGUGUUACAACACAAGUGUACAAUGUGCUGGGGGCAAGGGGACACAGAAAAGAGGCAGUCAAUGGAAGUCCCUAGAAGGGGGGAGAUAAGGUUAGGACAAGCCUUCCCAAGAGUGGAAAAGGAUGAUAGUUGUGUUGGGCCCUGAAAGAUGAAUAGGAUAUUGAUAAGCUGAUAACAAAGGAAGAGGGAAACGUAACAGUUACUGAGAUUCUACAAUUGACCGGGCACUGUGCUAGGGUCUUUUACCAAAGGGCCAUACAGACAGAGGAUGACAUGAGCAAAGUUACGCAGACAUGAGAGUACAUGCCCAAUGCACUUGAAAACCAAGGUGCAAACCAGCAUGGCAGCAUUCAACCAAUAGGUGAAUGGUUCGGUGUGGCAGGAAAUGGGCCUAGAAAGUUAAGGCAGGGCCAGGUCAUAUGUCAUCCUGAACAUCAAGCUAGGGCGUUUGCAAUUAUCCUAUAAUUUGGAAAUAUCCUAUAGACUCUGUUCUAAGGAUGUGGUUCCCAGUGGGGGACCACUAGAGGGUUUUAAGCCAAGAAUAAUCUGCCCAGAUGUAACCUUUAGAAAGAAAUAAUUGGGAGCAGAAUGGAGGAUUGCGGGAGAAAGGCUAGUGGUAUGGCAAACUGCUAGACAGCUAUGAGUAAAGUCCAGGACAAAGAUGAGCCAGCCCUAAAACAGAGUCAAGUGCCAUUUUGAAGCUGUGGGUAGACAUCAUGGCAAGAUGGUAGCAUAACUAUGGGUGGCCAGAUAAAGCCCUCUGUAAUUCCCAUUUAAAUAACUGCAGAAUAUACAAAGACCAUUGCACCACUGUUGAUGAUUGAGAUAAAUAGGCUUACAAUGUCUGAAAAAAAAUGUAGGUCAACCACUAGUAAAAUUAAAAGCAAUGUCUAUUUUCCAAAUCACUGCUGAAAAUAAUAGCAAAUCAUUUCCACACACACAAACACACAAAAGCAUAAUCUACAGGAAACAUAAAAUGCAUAGGGCAUAAAACAAAGUAAUAGGAAUAAAACCAGAUCGAAUGGUUAUGAGGUGAAUGUAACUAGAGAGUCCGUGAGCCUGGAUCAUACACAGCUAUCAUUUGUUGAGUGCAUGCUCUAUGCCAGGUGCUCCUCUGUGUGUUUCAUAAAGACAAAUAUGGCAAUGGGAGGAUGAGAUGGGAUGCUUCCAGUCUAGGAUCCACUUGGGGCUCCAAAUGAACAGAUACCACAUUCCAAAGUGAAGUGGGAUACACCUCUUGGAAAAGAGGUGGCGAAAACCUGGGUCCAUGCCAUUAGCUGACACCCAUCUCUAAUGCAUACAAAAUGGGAGAGAGGUUGAAAAAAGGUUGUUGGAGGUUUAGAAUGAAUUUCAGAGACAGCCUUUGGGGUCCAGUGAUCCCAAAUAAAUGGGAGGGGUACAGGGUGCUAUCACCUUCACCUCAAAGCCAGACAGUGGGGCCUUGAGGAGACCCCUAAGUCAGUUGAUAUGUGGCCAAAAUGGUCUUGGUGCCACAGUGGAGAAAUCCAAAGAGCAGCAAGAGUGCUGCUGCUUCAGGACCAGCCUGUGCUCCCUGGUUUGCAGGGCAAAGCACACAUGAGUGUCUCUUGUGGACAGAGGUAGCACCCAGCAAGAGAGCCAGAUGUGACUGUCUUAGAUCCAGGACAAGAGGGCUCCUCCAAGGGAGGAGGUGACACUGAGGGAGACCAGGUUUCCCAGAGCCUGAGAAAGAAACCAUAGGAUCGGCUACGGGGAGAAAGUAUCACCCUCAUCAAGGGAGGUGCAGGGUGAGACUCCAGCGAUGGGGUGGUCUCCACCAACCCACAAAAACAGCCCAGUGAGAGAAAGGGCCCAGAGAACAACGGGACAGCAACUCAUCAGAGUACAGUCGUUGAAGACCUUUCCCAACCAUCUCCUCUCCUACCUACCUGCCCCUCCACCUUGGACCCUGGAAAGGGUCAGGACUGUCAUGUGCAAGGUCCCCACAGGCAGCUGGCCUACAGCAGACCGUGCUGGGAAAGAGAUGGUGUAACUCUGACGUUUCAAGAUUUUUUUUUUUAUUACAGCAGACAGGAUGCAUUAAUUACUGACAAGACAACCUCUGGUUACCUGAAAAUGGUCAGAAAAGUCAUGGGACUUACCCUAAAUUUAAUAUAAUUUUAGAAGGGAAAACAGCCCUAUAGAAUAAAUUUAAAGAGACUGUGG